rnacentral:rRNA from 1 species
GAUGAACGCUGGCGGCGUGCCUAACACAUGCAAGUCGAGCGAUUCUCUUCGGAGAAGAGCGGCGGACGGGUGAGUAACGCGUGGGUAACCUGCCCUGUACACACGGAUAACAUACCGAAAGGUAUGCUAAUACGGGAUAACAUGUUUUGAUCGCAUGGUCGAAAUAUCAAAGCUCCGGCGGUACAGGAUGGACCCGCGUCUGAUUAGCUAGUUGGUAAGGUAAUGGCUUACCAAGGCGACGAUCAGUAGCCGACCUGAGAGGGUGAUCGGCCACAUUGGAACUGAGACACGGUCCAAACUCCUACGGAGGCAGCAGUGGGGAAUAUUGCACAAUGGGCGAAAGCCUGAUGCAGCAACGCCGCGUGAGCGAUGAAGGCCUUCGGGUCGUAAAGCUCUGUCCUUCAAGGAAGAUAAUGACGGUACUUGAGGAGGAAGCCCCGGCUAACUACGUG